CGGGAGACGUAGGCCUCAA
rnacentral:sRNA from 1 species